AGGAUGGUUUUAGUACGUAGGCGUUGCGGAACUUCGGUUCAGAUAGAGCAAUGAAUCGUGCAUGCUAGGAAACUGAAGUGUUGACAGACCUAGUAUCUUUCGAUAGAUUUCCAUACCU
rfam:Drosophila sechellia strain Rob3c scaffold_6722 genomic scaffold, whole genome shotgun sequence.